ACCUCCACCUACAUCCACACCUCCUCUUGGUUCCACCUCCAUCACUCUUCCACCAUCACUCUCUCCUCUUGAUCUCUCUGUGCUUUCAUUUGUUGGAUCAGUCUGUGUUGUGGCUCUACUGGUGUUACUGGUUCUGCUGGUGAGACAAUGUGUUCACAGGAAACCUGAAGCAGAUCAAGAAGAAAGUGAAGAAGACGACCUCAUCACUUAUGUCAUCAUUGAGAUAUCAGUUCAUCAAGAACAAUCUGACAAAGAAAGACGAGAUAUUUAUUUUGUAGUUGUGAUCUACUCAGCAGUGAGAAGUGAAGACGUCAGUUCUGGACAAACAACCAUCAGAACAAGCAGGCCCAGACUUUAAACCAGAGCCAGACGUCGUCUACUCUUCACUGAAGUAGUCCACCAGUCCAACCACUGACGUCCAGCUGCUGGUCUCUGGUCCACCCAGCAUCUCAAACCAGAGUAAAAAUUAUACAUAAAACACAUUUUUAUAUGUUUUAUGUCAUGUUUUAUGUAUUUUUUGUUGGAAUAUUCAAUAUUUUUUGAGGCUAAAUGAGUAAUGUGCAAAGGGCCUAUACACCAGUAAAGAUUAGUUAGUGAAAUCAUAAUUCAGCAUGUCUUCAGAAACAAACACAUUGUGGUGAUAAGUAUAACAAAGUUAGAAGAGAUGGUGCACAAAUCUGCAUCUGGUUAAAAGGAAAAAACACACAAACAUGAAAGAGUUUGCCAGAUUUGUGCUACAUGAAUUAGCUGGGAGUGGAAAUAUGGAUAUUUACAGUCUUGUGCAAUAAAGAAUAUGUGUGUUGUAUCACAAGACA